GACGAACGCUGGCGGCGUGCUUAACACAUGCAAGUCGAACGGAAAGGCCCUGCUUUUGUGGGGUUCUCGAGUGGCGAACGGGUGAGUAACACGUGAGUAACCUGCCCUUGACUUUGGGAUAACUUCAGGAAACUGGGGCUAAUACCGGAUAGGAGCUCCUGCUGCAUGGUGGGGGUUGGAAAGUUUCGGCGGUUGGGGAUGGACUCGCGGCUUAUCAGCUUGUUGGUGGGGUAGUGGCUUACCAAGGCUUUGACGGGUAGCCGGCCUGAGAGGGUGACCGGCCACAUUGGGACUGAGAUACGGCCCAGACUCCUACGGGAGGCAGCAGUGGGGAGUAUUGCACAAUGGGCGGAAGCCUGAUGCAGAAACGCCGCGUGCGGGAUGACGGCCUUCGGGUUGUAAACCGCUUUCGCCUGUGACGAAGCGUGAGUGACGGUAAUGGGUAAAGAAGCACCGGCUAACUACGUG
rnacentral:rRNA from 1 species